rnacentral:misc_RNA from 1 species
GAUGAAGAACGUAGCGAAAUGCGAUAAGUAAUGCGAAUUGCAGAUUUCAGUGAAUCAUCGAAUCUUUGAACGCACAUUGCGCCCGCCAGUAUUCUGGCGAGCAUGCCUGUUCGAGCGUCAUUUCAACCAUCAAGCCCCAGGCUUGUGUUGGAGCCCUGCGGCUGCCGCAGCCUCCCAAAACCAGUGGCGGGCUCGCUAUCACACCGAGUGCAGUAGUUUACUCUUCGCUCAGGGCGUGUGGCGGGUGCUAGCCGUGAAACCCCCAACUUCUCAAGGUUGACCUCGGAUCAGGUAGGAAUACCCGCUGAACUUAAGCAUAUCAAUAAGCGGAGGA